rnacentral:rRNA from 1 species
GCGAACGCUGGCGGCAGGCUUAACACAUGCAAGUCGAGCGGGCGUAGCAAUGCGUCAGCGGCAGACGGGUUAGUAACGCGUGGGAACAUGCCCUUUGGUUCGGAACAACACAGCGAAACUCGUGCUAAUACCGGAUAAGCCCUUACGGGGAAAGAUUUAUCGCCGAAAGAUUGGCCCGCGUCUGAUUAGCUAGUUGGUGAGGUAACGGCUCACCAAGGCGACGAUCAGUAGCUGGUCUGAGAGGAUGAUCAGCCACAGUGGGACUGAGACACGGCCCAGACUCCUACGGGAGGCAGCAGUGGGGAAUAUUGGACAAUGGGCGCAAGCCUGAUCCAGCCAUGCCGCGUGAGUGAUGAAGGCCCUAGGGUUGUAAAGCUCUUUUGUGCGGGAAGAUAAUGACGGUACCGCAAGAAUAAGCCCCGGCUAACUUCGU